AGGAGGCGCGGUAUACGAAGGUGGCAAGCGUUAUUCGAAUUACUGGGCGUAAAGCGCCGCAGGCGGUCGCAGUCGAUGGAAAUCCCGGGCUCAACUGGGAACUGCAUCGAAACUGGCAGGCUAGAGUCUUGUAGAGGGGGGUAGAAUUCCAGGUGUAGCGGUGAAAUGCGUAGAGAUCUGGAGGAAUACCGGUGGCGAAGGCGGCCCCCUGGACGAAGACUGACGCUCAGGUGCGAAAGCGUGGGGAGCAAACAGGAUUAGAUACCUGGUAGUCCACGCCGUAAACGAUGUCGAUUUGGAGGUUGUGCCCUUGAGGCGUGGCUUCCGGAGCUAACGCGUUAAAUAGACCGCCUGGGGAGUACGGCCGCAAGGUUAAAACUCAAAUGAAUUGACGGGGGCCCGCACAAGCGGUGGAGCAUGUGGUUUAAUUCGAUGCAACGCGAAGAACCUUACCUGGUCUUGACAUCCACAGAACUUGGCAGAGAUGCCUUGGUGCCUUCGGGAACUGUGAGACAGGUGCUGCAUGGCUGUCGUCAGCUCGUGUUGUGAAAUGUUGGGUUAAGUCCCGCAACGAGCGCAACCCUUAUCCUUUGUUGCCAGCGGUUAGGCCGGGAACUCAAAGGAGACUGCCAGUGAUAAACUGGAGGAAGGUGGGGAUGACGUCAAGUCAUCAUGGCCCUUACGACCAGGGCUACACACGUGCUACAAUGGCAUAUACAAAGAGAAGCGACCUCGCGAGAGCAAGCGGACCUCAUAAAGUAUGUCGUAGUCCGGAUUGGAGUCUGCAACUCGACUCCAUGAAGUCGGAAUCGCUAGUAAUCGUAGAUCAGAAUGCCACGGUGAAUACGUUCCCGGGCCUUGUACACACCGCCCGUCACACCAUGGGAGUGGGUUGCAAAAGAAGUAGGUAGCUUAACCUUCGGGAGGGCGCUUACCACUUUGUGAUUCAUGACUGGGGUGAAGUCGUAACAAGGUAACCGUAGGGAACCC
rnacentral:rRNA from 1 species